rnacentral:tRNA from 1 species
GAUGUGGCUUAGUGGUUUGAGUGUUGGGCUACCACUCUGGAGACCAGGGCUCGAAUCCCAGCUUGGCCA